rnacentral:rRNA from 1 species
UACGAAGGGGGCUAGCGUCGCUCGGAAUUACUGGGCGUAAAGGGCGCGUAGGCGGAUGUUUAAGUCAGAGGUGAAAGCCCAGGGCUCAACCUUGGAACUGCCUUUGAUACUGGGCAUCUUGAGUAUGGGAGAGGUGAGUGGAACUCCGAGUGUAGAGGUGAAAUUCGUAGAUAUUCGGAAGAACACCAGUGGCGAAGGCGACUCACUGGCCCAUUACUGACGCUGAGGCGCGAAAGCGUGGGGAGCAAACAGG